rnacentral:rRNA from 1 species
UACAGAGGGUGCGAGCGUUGUCCGGAAUCACUGGGCGUAAAGGGCGCGUAGGUGGCGCCGCAAGUCCAUGGUGAAAGCUCGAUGCUCAACAUCGAGUCGGCCACGGAGACUGCGGGGCUCGAGCACUGUAGGGGCAGAUGGAAUUCCGGGUGUAGCGGUGGAAUGCGUAGAGAUCCGGAAGAACACCGGUGGCGAAGGCGGCCUGCUGGGCAGUUGCUGACACUGAGGCGCGACAGCGUGGGGAGCAAACAGG